UGGCUGUCGUCAGCUCGUGUCGUGAGAUGUUCGGUUAAGUCCGCUAACGAGCGCAACCCUCGUCGUAUGUUAUAUGUGUCAUACGAGACUGCCGGUAAAAGCCGGAGGAAGGUGAGGAUGAUGUCAAGUCAGCAUGACCUUUAUAUCCAGGGCUACACACACGCUACAAUGGUCUGUACAAUGGGUAGCCAAGCCGCGAGGCGGAGCCAAUCCUGAAAGCAGGCCUCAGUUCAGAUUGCAGUCUGCAACUCGACUGCAUGAAGCCGGAGUUGCUAGUAACCGCAGGUCAGCAAUACUGCGGUGAAUACGUUCCCGGGUCUU
rnacentral:rRNA from 1 species